rnacentral:rRNA from 1 species
UCCUGUAGUGGGGAUAACCCCGCGAAAGCCGGAUUAAUUACCGAUACGCUCUACGGAGGAAAGGGGGGGAUCUUAGACCUCCGCUACAGGGGCGCCGAUGGCAGAUUAGCUAGUUGGUGGGGUAAAGGCCUACCAAGGCGACGAUCUGUAGCUGGUCUGAGAGGACGACCAGCCACACUGGGACUGAGACACGGCCCAGACUCCUACGGGAGGCAGCAGUGGGGAAUUUUGGACAAUGGCGAAAGCCUGAUCCAGCAAUGCCGCGUGUGUGAAGAAGGGCUCGGGUUGUAAAGCACUUUUGUCCGGAAAGAAAACGCCGUGGUUAAUACCCGUGGCGGAUGACGUACCGGAAGAAUAACCCG